GGCAACCAGAGCCAGCUGGGACACCGAGCUUGGGGUAGGAGCCAGGUAUUUUUCCUCCAUUCAUCUGUUGAUUCCAUCAGUGUUUUCUUCUAAGCUUGGGCUCUAACUGCAGUGUCCAACGUGGGAAAACAAACCCGAAAGUCAGGAACUGAGCUGCAUCUGCUCUAGUGCUGCCUUUUGCUCUUCUGAAAUGAAGCCAAAAGGCACAGCCCCUGCCCUCCAGAACAGGAAGCUGCUGAAAGAGCGUGUCCUUUCUCCAGCGCUGCCUGCCCUGGAAUCCUCACCAGACUGGGAAGGCAAGGAGAAGCACACCCUGACUGUGGCCCACACCCAUGGGAGCUGUUGUUCAUGACAGCACUUUGGCUCUUUCCACCAUCCGUUUGAGAGCAUUCAGUUUCCUCGACCCACAGAUGGUAAGUGUCCCCUGGCAACCAAAAGCUUGCAAACUGCUCCCAACUCCCCUCUUCAGUGUUCCCAGCGUCACUGAGGUCUUUUCAGUGAGG
rnacentral:lncRNA from 1 species